rnacentral:misc_RNA from 1 species
GAUGAAGAACGCAGCGAAAUGCGAUAAGUAAUGUGAAUUGCAGAAUUCAGUGAAUCAUCGAAUCUUUGAACGCGCCUUGCGCCCUUUGGACAUUCCGAAGGGCAUGCCUGUUUGAGUAUCAUGAACACCUCAACUCUCACGGCUUCUCCGUGAUGAGCUUGGACUUUGGGGGUCUUGCCGGCCUGUGGUCGGCUCCUCUCAAAUGGAUCAGCUUGCCAGUGUUUGGUGGCAUCACAGGUGUGAUAACUAUCUGCGCUUGUGGUUUUCCAUCAGAUAACCUUCAGUGAUAUGGAGGUACGCUGGAGCUCACAAAUGUCUCUCCUUAGUGAGGACAGCUCUUUGAACGUUUGAUCUCAAAUCAGGUAGGACUACCCGCUGAACUUAAGCAUAUCAAUAAGCGGAGGA